rnacentral:rRNA from 1 species
CGGGGGCGCGGGCGCGAAACCUUUACACUGCACGCACGUGCGAUAAGGGGACUCCGAGUGCGAGGGCAUAUCGUCCUCGCUUUCGUGUACCGUAGGGUGGUACACCAACAAGGGCUGGGCAAGACCGGUGCCAGCCGCCGCGGUAAUACCGGCAGCCCAAGUGAUGACCGAUCUUAUUGGGCCUAAAGCGUCCGUAGCUGGCUGCGCAAGUCCGUCGGGAAAUCCACUCGCCCAACGAGUGGGCGUCCGACGGAAACUGCACAGCUUGGGACCGGAAGGCUCGAAGGGUACGUGCGGGGUAGGAGUGAAAUCCUAUAAUCCCGCACGGACCACCGAUGGCGAAAGCACUUCGAGAAAACGGAUCCGACAGUGAGGGACGAAAGCCAGGGUCUCCAACCGGAUUAGAUACCCGGGUAGUCCUGGCCGUAAACAAUGUUCGCUAGGUAUGACACAGACUACGUGUCUCUGUUGUGCCGUAGGAAGCCGAGAAGCGAC